AAUUCUCAACCUUAAACCAGUUUUGCGACUGGGUCAAGGCUUGGAUGUGAGGGCUUUGCUGGCUUCCUUUAGUGGAUGGUCUGCUCCCUUUAAAUGCAUUAGUGGGAUCCUUUGUGGACGGUCACUUGGUGUGAUAAUUAUCUACGCCUUGUUGACUGUGAAGCAAAACUUAUGGGACCCUGCUUAUAACCGUCCUUCGGGACAAUUUAUUGACC
rnacentral:misc_RNA from 1 species